CGAGUUGAGAGUUAAGUCGAUAAUAGGACGUGUGAAUCCUUAGAAGCCGAGUAUACCUAGGGAUUGAGUUUUAAUGGGUAAAUAGACGUUGAGUAAGAAGUUAUAGUUAAGAUGAGUUUGGAUUUAGAGAUUGAGUUUCUGACUAAGGUUUGUUUUAUCACAUGAACUUUCGAUGACGAUGACGAUGUGAUGAUGACAUAUGAAGGCCCGAGCGAGACGAAGAAGUAAGUUGCCUGAUUUCUUUCCAGGAUUAGCAAAGGACUUCAGGCUAAGCGAGGAGCGAGAUUGGUCUGGUGCUGGUGGGGAAAUUGUUGAAGGAUGUAUUUACUUUAUCGUAUUUCCAUUUUGACGAUAAAGUCUUGAUGAUUGAUAUACUUUGAUUUUCUCUUGAAUUUAAGCAAUGUACUCACGGUUAUAUGUCUUCAUACAUAUAAUCGGUUCGCCUUUUGCUGCGAUACUCUGCAUAUUAUGAUUCCUUGCGAAAAAUGAGCGAUACCCGUUUUGUUUU